CGGCGGACGGGUGAGUAACACGUGGAUAACCUACCUAUAAGACUGGGAUAACUUCGGGAAACCGGAGCUAAUACCGGAUAAUAUAUUGAACCGCAUGGUUCAAUAGUGAAAGACGGGUUUGCUGUCACUUAUAGAUGGAUCCGCGCCGCAUUAGCUAGUUGGUAAGGUAACGGCUUACCAAGGCAACGAUGCGUAGCCGACCUGAGAGGGUGAUCGGCCACACUGGAACUGAGACACGGUCCAGACUCCUACGGGAGGCAGCAGUAGGGAAUCUUCCGCAAUGGGCGAAAGCCUGACGGAGCAACGCCGCGUGAGUGAUGAAGGUCUUCGGAUCGUAAAACUCUGUUAUUAGGGAAGAACAAAUGUGUAAGUAACUAUGCACGUCUUGACGGUACCUAAUCAGAAAGCCACGGCUAACUACGUGCCAGCAGCCGCGGUAAUACGUAGGUGGCAAGCGUUAUCCGGAAUUAUUGGGCGUAAAGCGCGCGUAGGCGGUUUUUUAAGUCUGAUGUGAAAGCCCACGGCUCAACCGUGG
rnacentral:rRNA from 1 species